rnacentral:pre_miRNA from 1 species
CAUGCACUGGUGGGGUCCCUCAGCCUGGCCUGUGCCCUCUCACAAUCCAGGACCCCUUGGGGGAUGUUGGACUGUUGGUUUCAGCCCUAUCCCCACAGGCCUGGCUGAGGGACCCCACCAGUGCACA